UCUCCUAAAAUUUUAUGAAUAAACUCAUCUUAUAUAGAGAGAUAUGAUAGAGUCCUUGUCUAGGUCAAACACCUAGUCAAGGCUUAUCCAAACAUGGCAAGUUAAGGGACGCCCAACUCUUGAGCACCUCCUUCAUAUUUUCGUGUAUGGAUUACCAAAAAUGGGUACACAAUGUAUACCCUAAAAGCCAUGAAAAUUUUAAAAAAAAUUUGGAUAAAUUCGGUGCAAAAUUGAAAGAGUUUUGGAUUUCUAAAACUCUAUCUCAUAGAAUUUGAAAUCCAAACUUAUUCCUUUUAGAUUUGAUCCAAACCACCUUCGAUGUAAGAAAGAAGAGAGGAGACCUUUUGUGAACGUGGGAG
rnacentral:lncRNA from 1 species